GAUGAACGCUGGCGGAAUGCUUUACACAUGCAAGUCGAACGGCAGCACGGACUUCGGUCUGGUGGCGAGUGGCGAACGGGUGAGUAAUAUAUCGGAACGUGCCCAGUCGUGGGGGAUAACGUAGUGAAAGCUACGCUAAUACCGCAUACGAUCUAUGGAUGAAAGCGGGGGAUCGCAAGACCUCGCGCGAUUGGAGCGGCCGAUAUCAGAUUAGGUAGUUGGUGAGGUAAAGGCUCACCAAGCCGACGAUCUGUAGCUGGUCUGAGAGGACGACCAGCCACACUGGGACUGAGACACGGCCCAGACUCCUACGGGAGGCAGCAGUGGGGAAUUUUGGACAAUGGGCGCAAGUCUGAUCCAGCCAUUCCGCGUGCAGGAUGAAGGCCCUCGGGUUGUAAACUGCUUUUGUACGGAACGAAAAGGUCUCUCUUAAUACGGGGGGCUCAUGACGGUACCGUAAGAAUAAGCACCGGCUAACUACGUGCCAG
rnacentral:rRNA from 1 species